UUUAUGACCGACCGCCCCUAGCUCAAGUAGCAAAGAGUUUGGUGGUUGGUACGUGUGAUUUCAAAUUUGAAUUCUAAUUAAUUUAUAUUUUCAGCUAAAUUUAUUUUUUUUAAAAAUAAACGAAACGAGUAGUAUGCUACAUGUUUCUCAAAAAAAAAUCAGUACUGUGAUUCUUCAAAAAAACAUUACUUUGAUAGCACUAUAUAUAUAUAUAUAUAUAUAUAUAUAGUCCGGCUACUAUACUAUUGAUAGUAUCAAAUCCUUGGUACUAUUGAGUUUUCUACCGUUAGAUCAACCCUUUAAUCAUUUCCACCCGUUAGAUUAUACUAUUAAACCAAUCACCCACUCAACCCUAGGGGACCACUAUCAAUUUAAUCGGGGACCACUAUCAUCCUAACCGCACAUCCUUUCAUCCAACGGCCGAAAACUCAAUAGUACCAAGGGCUUGGUACUAUUGAUAGUA
rnacentral:lncRNA from 1 species